AGGUUGGCUCAGAAGCAGCCAUCCUUUAAAGAGUGCGUAACAGCUCACUAGUCGAGUGACCCUGCGCCGAAAAUGUACCGGGGCUAAGCCUGAUACCGAAACUGCGGAUUGUAGGAAACUAUAGUGGUAGGGGAGCGUUGUAUACGAGCAGAAGCCGUACCGUGAGGAGCGGUGGAUUGUAUAGAAGUGAGAAUGCCGGUGUGAGUAGCGAGAUGUAGGUGAGAAUCCUACACACCGAAAGCCCAAGGAUUCCAGGGGAAGGUUCGUCCGCCCUGGGUAAGUCGGGACCUAACGCGAGGCCGAAAGGCGUAGUGGAUGGAAAGCAGGCGAAAGAUUCCUGCACCCGUAUAUGGAGCGAAGGAGUGACGGAGACGGAUAGUGUGACCCUCUUAAUGGAUUGAGGGCGAAGCGAAGCGGCUGGUUACCAGGCAAAUCCGGUAACUGAAAGGCUAGAGCGUGACAGGUAAGCGAAAUCUUAGGAAAGUAGCGAAGCACAUGAUGACGGCUUCCAGGAAAAGCUUCUGGCAAUGCAUAUGCGGCCCGUACCAAAACCGACACAGGUGGGCAGGGAGAGAAUCCCGAGGUGAGCGAGAGAACUGUUGCCAAGGAACUCGGCAAAAUGACUCCGUAAGUUAGCGAGAAGGAGUGCUUAAGCAAUUAAGCCGCAGUGAAGAGGCCCAAGCGACUGUUUAACUAAAACACAGCUCUCUGCGAAGUCGCAAGACGAAGUAUAGGGGGUGACACCUGCCCGGUGCUGGAAGGUUAAGAGGAUCUGUUAAGAGCGAUCUGAAGCAGUGAUCCGAAGCCCCAGUGAACGGCGGCCGUAACUAUAACGGUCCUAAGGUAGCGAAAUUCCUUGUCAGGUAAGUUCUGACCCGCACGAAAGGUGUAACGAUUUGGGCGCUGUCUCGGCAGCAGACUCGGUGAAAUCUUAGUACCUGUGAAAAUGCAGGUUACCCGCAACUAGACGGAAAGACCCCAUGGAGCUUUACUGCAGCCUGAUAUUGAAUUCUGGUCAUACAUGUACAGGAUAGGUGGGAGACAAAGAGACGUGCACGCCAGUGUACGAGGAGUCGGCGUUGGGAUACCACUCUUGUGUGACCGGGGUUCUAACCUGGUAUCGAGAACAGGUACGGGGAGAGUGUCAGGUGGGCAGUUUGACUGGGGCGGUCGCCUCCCAAAGAGUAACGGAGGCGCCCAAAGGUACGCUCAGAUUGGAUGGAAACCAAUCGACGAGUGCAAUUGCAGAAGCGUGCUUGACUGUGAGACAGACAAGUCGAACAGGGACGAAAGUCGGGAAUAGUGAUCCGGCGGUGCCGAAUGGAAGGGCCGUCGCUCAACGGAUAAAAGCUACCCUGGGGAUAACAGGCUGAUCUCGCCCAAGAGUUCACAUCGACGGCGAGGUUUGGCACCUCGAUGUCGGCUCAUCGCAUCCUGGAGCUGGAUUCGGUUCCAAGGGUUGGGCUGUCCGCCCAUUAAAGCGGUACGCGAGCUGGGUUCAGAACGUCGUGAGACAGUUCGGUCCCUAUCUGUUGUGGGCGAAGGAGAUCUGCGGAGAGCUGUCCUCAGUACGAGAGGACCGGGAUGGACCUACCGCUGGUGCACCGGUUGUUCCGCCAGGGGCAUAGCCGGGUAGCUAAGUAGGGAAAGGAUAAGCGCUGAAAGCAUCUAAGCACGAAGCCUACUCCAAGAUGAGAUCUCCCAUUCGCAAGAAGUAAGACCCCUUAAAGACGAUAAGGUAGAUAGGCCAGGGAUGGAAGUGCAGUGAUGUACGGAGUUGACUGGUACUAAUCGGUCGAGGACUUAAUCAG
rnacentral:rRNA from 1 species